UACUGAAUUGCAUUUUAAUACAGACCCAAUCUUUGGGUUCAGUCAGAGACAUCUAAAGUUUGUUUCAACUUUUCAGUCUGGGAACAGAUGGACAUUCAGAAUGCGGCAUCGUUGUUCUCCAACAUUUCCUCCCCAGCAGUUAUACAAUGUUGUUUUACCCUGUGGCUGUAUUCUCACUCUCAACUCUUUAACACUGGAAGUGUGGAAAUCCUUUUAUGUGAAUGUCCAUGCUAUUCUUUAAGUACUGCGUAUAUUACAUUUGAUCAUUUUAUCACAUUGCUUUAACUAUACUGUAGUUUCACAUUCUUAUUUAUCUCCUAAUUUUGCAGACUCUGAAAAUAAUCAGUGUUGGUGUCCGGAAGUGGAAUGAAAGUCUGAAAAUAAUUGAUGAUCUCUCAAUAGCAACCACUAGGUGGCAAAACAGACACUUCAUGGAUUAAAGAUGGGAGUUUUCCAAGGGCAUGCACAAUUCCUGCUGUUAAAACUGGCAGAUGGCAAAAGGUCAGUAUCCUUUUGUGCUCAUGUAAGUAUGGCACAACAGUGAAUUUGGACCACAGGAAAAUCUCUGGAUUUACUAAUGUUAUGUUUUGCUUGGAAAGGACAAAGAGAGGAAUCAAGAGGAGAGAUUUCAACAGCCCCGUAUGAAUGAAUCUAGCUACCUAGCUCUUACCUUCAACUACGCAAACUGCUGAUGUUAUACAUUUAAGGAUCAUUUCUUAUCUCCCCUACCCCUUUACCCGUGGGAGUCUGUCCUUCCCUCCCUUCUUUCCUUCUCAGAGACUGGCAUGCCAUUGCUAUGGCCAGUCUCUUCGACACAUUCUCACCCCUAAAUGAAAUAAAUCCUGAGCCAGUAGCAGUUUGGGGAGAAAAUGUGUUUCUUUCCUCUUAAAACAUUAAGGAGCCUCAACCGGGGUUUUCUAAUUUUCAUCCUCCUCUUCCCUCAACAGCAGACUUGUUAAUUGUCUGUCUCCCUUAUCUGAGCAGCCUUUGCUUCAGUAAGUAUGGCCAGGCCUAACCUGUCUUCUCAUUUAGUCUUAUUCAUGAACAGUGGUUGUGGUGCUGUUCUUUUGGAAAUCUCCCAUGUAAUUAUAUCCAUGUCAAUACAGAUAGAUAUAGAUAGAGAAUCUAUUGCAGGAAGAAUGAGCCAGUAAUUAGGAUGUGUGGUCUAUCAACAAGAGGAGGCUAGAUGACUUCAAACAUCAGAAGGGAAACAAUGAAGGUAAGGAAGUGCAGGGUGUGACUCCUUGUUAAUGACCACACACACAACCUCCUUGGGUGCCUAUACACAUGCAGCAAGGCUGCUCUGAACCACUGUAACCAAAUCUGCUGAAGUGUGGUAAUUACCUUACUCCAGCAGACUCCAGCAUCACGUCCAUCCCUGCACUGAAAAAUGGUGGCAGAGGUGCUCUAACAAAGCUCAUUUGACAAGAUUUUGUUAAAGCACCCCCGCUGCCAUUUUUCAGCGUGGGGACACUGAUUCAUGUGAUGCUCCGGGCACUUUAAUUAGAGUGGUUCAAAGACAAUCUAAUUAAAACACCCUCCCACUCCUGGAGCAUGUGUAUCCAUGCCCCUUGUGCACAGCUGCUGGACUCUCUUGAUGAUAAUCCCUGACUUUCACCAGACUCUAGGUGUUGUGUUGUGGGGUCUGUUCGUUGAGUCAGGAGCCCCUUUAACAAAGAGGUUUCUUUAUUCAUGCUGCCAGCACCCACACAGCCAUCAGACUCUCCUCUCCAGCUCUGCCUCUAACUCUGCCUCUUUUAAAGAUAUACAAAUCAGAGUGAGGGUUGAGUUUCUCGCAGAGUAGAUAUAGGCUCCACAGAGGCCUCUGUUCAGUGUGUUCCCCACUGCCGGGGCUUAUCAGGGAAAGGCAUGGUUUCAUCUUUUUCUGAAAGAGAGAGAAGGGGGACUUGGUGCCUGUUUCCCAAAUGGCUUUAAAAAAAAAAAAAUCUGGGAUUGAAAGAAAAGUAGCACGAGCAUAGUUUACAUUUCUUUUCUGUGUGUCUUUCAUUUCUUGGGCAUUUAUAUGACACCAAUCAAUAUGGCACCUAGGCUGUAUUAUAGGCAAACAUGUUAAUACAAGUUACAAACUGAAUCAGGAUUGAACAAGGAGAUAAACAGAAUAUCGAAUAGUUACUCACUUAUUGAAUCCAAUCCUUUCUAUGCAUUGAAUGAGGCAGUGGAAAUACAGCAUGUUGUCAUAUAAUUACAGAUGGAAUCAAAAUGCGUAUUGGAUCAAAUUCAAGUUGUACAGACAUUUUCUAGCACAGUAAAUACAGCUCGUUAUGGAAUAAGUGGCCCACGAUUAGCAGCUUUGGAGAAGACUGGUAUUUCCAUGCUGUGAUGAAUCUGCUGACAGUGGUUCUUGCCAUGGCUCCUGACUGGCGUGCAUGGUAGGCGUGGCAGGAUGUUUGGUGGGGGGGGGAGGUCCAGGGUUGGUGAAGGAUGGAUGGAGAUCAGAGGGAUGAGGCAGACCACAAUAAAAGCAUAGCAAAGCACGGGGUAAAUAAUCAUGUUGCACCAUGUCACGCUUUGGGUUAUGUUUGUCUCAGCUGCCAAAACUGGCCCAUUGCGAGGCCUCAGAUAUCAGCCACGUCUACAUAACAUGUUUCUAGCACUCGCUUAGUCAUCGUGUCUUUGUCAACAGACCCAAUUUUUUAAAGUCGACCAAAACUCACAAUAGCACAUCAGUGAGUUGAUGUCGGGCCUUUAUAUUAUUAAGAGGUUACCCAGGGCAAACUAUUAAAAAAACUGGUUAACUUAGCUUUUAUACAAAUGGAGGGAAUUACAAGCUGCAUUAAUUGUAGUCACUGAUAAUAUUGUGAAAGCAAUUUUAAGUAAAAAGUGCCACUUAUGGUAGAAGCACACUUAAGGAUUUUGUAAUUAUAAAUAUUUGUACUGUUAAGUGAAUUGCAUUAAAGUAUUUGUUGUUCUUGCUUUA